rnacentral:misc_RNA from 1 species
AUUGGGGAAAUUAUUGAAUCUCUCCCGAACCGACUUCCUAAAUCGGCUAAUUUUUGCUUUCUUCCUUCAGUUCAAAUUCAAUCUAUGCAGUUACUGCGAUGGCUCCAAAGUGUUGAAUGAAAACGGCGACCACGCUGAGGCAGAACGCAGAACGGCAAUGAAGAGCUGGACUGCUGGCUUCAAAGUGGCUGCGCCCUAAGCCGUU